CUCAAGACUAAGCCAUGCAUGUCUAAGUAUAAACGCUUCUAUACUGUGAAACUGCGAAUGGCUCAUUAAAUCAGUUAUAGUUUAUUUGAUGGUUCCUUACUACUUGGAUAACCGUAGUAAUUCUAGAGCUAAUACAUGCAGAAAGUCCCGACUUCUUGGAAGGGAUGUAUUUAUUAGAUCCAAAACCAGCGCGAGUUUCCUUCGGGGGCUCGGUUGCAUGGUGAUUCAUGAUAACUGCUCGAAUCGCAUGGCCUUGCGCCGGCGAUGAUCCAUUCAAAUUUCUGCCCUAUCAACUUUCGAUGGCAAGGUAGUGGCUUGCCAUGGUGACAACGGGUGACGGAGAAUUAGGGUUCGAUUCCGGAGAGGGAGCCUGAGAAACGGCUACCACAUCCAAGGAAGGCAGCAGGCGCGCAAAUUACCCAAUCCCGACUCGGGGAGGUAGUGACAAUAAAUAACAAUGCUGGGCUAUCGUAGUCUGGCAAUUGGAAUGAGUACAAUCUAAACCCCUUAACGAGGAACAAUUGGAGGGCAAGUCUGGUGCCAGCAGCCGCGGUAAUUCCAGCUCCAAUAGCGUAUAUUAAAGUUGUUGCAGUUAAAAAGCUCGUAGUUGGAUUUCGGGGCAGCCCGGCUGGUCCGUCGCAAGGCGAGUACUGGUCGGCCGCCCUUCCUCUCGAAAGCCCCGACUGCUCUUCACUGUAGUGGUCGGGGAGUUCGGGACGUUUACUUUGAAAAAAUUAGAGUGUUCAAGGCAGGCCAUCGCCUGAAUACAUUAGCAUGGAAUAAUGGAAGAGGACCUCGGUCCUAUUUUGUUGGUUUCUAGGGCCGAAGUAAUGAUUAAGAGGGACAGUUGGGGGCAUUCGUAUUUAAUUGUCAGAGGUGAAAUUCUCGGAUUUAUGAAAGACGAACAACUGCGAAAGCAUUUGCCAAGGAUGUUUUCAUUAAUCAAGAACGAAAGUUAGGGGUUCGA
rnacentral:rRNA from 1 species